rnacentral:rRNA from 1 species
AUUGAACGCUGGCGGCAGGCCUAACACAUGCAAGUCGAGCGGAUGAAGGGAGCUUGCUCCUGGAUUCAGCGGCGGACGGGUAAGUAAUGCCUAGGAAUCUGCCUGGUAGUGGGGGAUAACGUCCGGAAACGGGCGCUAAUACCGCAUACGUCCUGAGGGAGAAAGUAGGGGAUCUUCGGACAUCACGCUAUCAGAUGAGCCUAGGUCGGAUUAGCUAGUUGGUGGGGUAAAGGCCUACCAAGGCGACGAUCCGUAACUGGUCUGAGAGGAUGAUCAGUCACACUGGAACUGAGACACGGUCCAGACUCCUACGGGAGGCAGCAGUGGAGAAUAUUGGACAGUGGGCGAAAGCCUGAGCCAGCCAUGCCGCGUGUGUGAAGAAUGUCUUCGGAUUGUAAAGCACUUUAAGUUGAGAGGAAGGGCAGUAAGUUAAUACCUUGCUGUUUUGACGUUACCAACAGAAUAAGCACCGUAUAACUGCG